rnacentral:rRNA from 1 species
GAUGAACGCUGGCGGCGUGCUUAACACAUGCAAGUCGAACGGAAAGGCCCAAGCUUGCUUGGGUACUCGAGUGGCGAACGGGUGAGUAACACGUGGGUGAUCUACCCUGCACUUCGGGAUAAGCCUGGGAAACUGGGUCUAAUACCGGAUAGGACCACUUCUUGGAUGUUGUGGUGGAAAGUUUUUUCGGUGUGGGAUGAGCUCGCGGCCUAUCAGCUUGUUGGUGGGGUAAUGGCCUACCAAGGCGUCGACGGGUAGCCGGCCUGAGAGGGUGUACGGCCACAUUGGGACUGAGAUACGGCCCAGACUCCUACGGGAGGCAGCAGUGGGGAAUAUUGCACAAUGGGCGCAAGCCUGAUGCAGCGACGCCGCGUGGGGGAUGACGGCCUUCGGGUUGUAAACUCCUUUCGCUAGGGACGAAGCGUUUUGUGACGGUACCUGGAGAAGAAGCACCGGCUAACUACGUG